rnacentral:lncRNA from 1 species
AGGUCAUCAAGAGGGUCAGCGGAGGCAGCGGCAGCAGCUCCAGCCCCUUCCUGGACCUGACUCCCGAGCCUGGGGCAGCUGUCUACAAGCACGGGGCCCUGGUGCGAAAGGUGCACGCAGACCCUGACUGCAGGAAGACACCUCGUGGCAAGCGGGGCUGGAAGAGCUUCCACGGGAUCCUCAAGGGCAUGAUCCUCUACCUGCAGAAGGAGGAGUACCAGCCCGGGAAGGCUCUUUCCGAGGCAGAGCUGAAGAACGCCAUUAGCAUUCACCACGCUCUGGCCACCCGCGCCAGCGACUACAGCAAGAGACCACACGUCUUCUACCUGCGCACAGCCGACUGGAGGGUCUUCCUCUUCCAGGCCCCGAGCCUGGAGCAAAUGCAGUCCUGGAUUACUCGCAUCAAUGUGGUGGCUGCCAUGUUUUCUGCACCCCCCUUCCCAGCUGCUGUCAGUUCCCAGAAGAAAUUCAGCCGUCCUCUGCUGCCCAGCGCUGCCACCCGCCUCUCCCAGGAGGAGCAGGUGAGGACUCACGAGGCCAAGCUGAAGGCCAUGGCAAGCGAGCUUCGAGAGCACCGGGCAGCACAUCUGGGGAAGAAGGCCCGAGGCAAGGAGGCUGAGGAGCAGAGGCAGAAGGAGACCUACCUGGAGUUUGAGAAAUCCCGCUAUGGCACCUACGCGGCGCUGCUUCGAGUCAAGAUGAAGGCCGCCAGCGAGGAGCUGGAUGCCAUAGAGGCAGCACUGGCCCAGGCUGGGAGCACGGAGGAAGGAUGCCCUCCGCCUCACUCCAGUCCUUCCCUGCAGCCCAACCCCACCAGCCAGCCCCGGGCUCAGCGUCCUGGCUCAGAAGCCCGGGCCGGGGCAGGCAGUACAAGGCCAAAGCCCUGAGCAGGGAGUAGGAGCAAUGGGGGCAGUGCCUGCUGGGCACCUGCAUGAUGACAUGGCCCCGCCUGAGCUCAGCUAGCCUCAGGCCAGCCACGGGGGCCUCCUGGUCCAGGGCCCGACCGCGCCGGACGCGGUGUCCGGGGCAGGGCAGGGCUGAGCCGGGCCUCAGAGCCUAGGCUGAGGGCCUCUCAGAGACCCCCUUUUUGUGAUAAUGUUUUGCACUUUUUCGUACAG